rnacentral:rRNA from 1 species
AAUGAACGCUGGCGGCAUGCCUUACACAUGCAAGUCGAACGGCAGCAUGACCUAGCUUGCUAGGUUGAUGGCGAGUGGCGAACGGGUGAGUAAUGCAUCGGAACGUGCCUUUUAGUGGGGGAUAACGUAGCGAAAGUUACGCUAAUACCGCAUAUUCUCUGAGGAGGAAAGCAGGGGACCUUCGGGCCUUGCGCUAGAAGAGCGGCCGAUGUCGGAUUAGCUAGUUUGUGAGGUAAAGGCUCACCAAGGCAACGAUCCGUAGCGGGUCUGAGAGGAUGAUCCGCCACACUGGGACUGAGACACGGCCCAGACUCCUACGGGAGGCAGCAGUGGGGAAUUUUGGACAAUGGGCGCAAGCCUGAUCCAGCCAUGCCGCGUGAGUGAAGAAGGCCUUCGGGUUGUAAAGCUCUUUCGGCUGGGAAGAAAUCGCACCCUCUAAUACAGGGUGUGGAUGACGGUACCAGCAUAAGAAGCACCGGCUAACUACGUG